rnacentral:rRNA from 1 species
CCUACGGGGGGCAGCAGUGGGGGAUAUUGCACAAUGGGGGAAACCCUGAUGCAGCGACGCCGCGUGUGGGAAGACGGUCUUCUGGAUUGUAAACCACUGUCCCCAGGGACGAAAAUGACGGUACCUGACUAAGAAGCCCCGGCUAACUACGUGCCAGCAGCCGCGGUAAUACGUAGGGGGCAAGCGUUAUCCGGAUUUACUGGGUGUAAAGGGAGCGUAGACGGCGGAACAAGUCAGAAGUGAAAACCCGGGGCUCAACCCUGGGAGUGCUUUUGAAACUGUUUGGCUGGAGUGCAGGAGAGGUA